AUACGUAGGUGGCAAGCGUUGUCCGGAAUUAUUGGGCGUAAAGCGCAUGUAGGCGGUUUGGUAAGUCGGUCGUGAAAAUGCGGUGCUUAACGCCGUAUGGCGAUUGAAACUGCUGAACUUGAGUGCAGGAGAGGAAAGGGGAACUCCCAGUGUAGCGGUGAAAUGCGUAGAUAUUGGGAAGAACACCGGUGGCGAAGGCGCCUUUCUGGACUGUGUCUGACGCUCAGAUGCGAAAGCCAGGGUAGCGAACGGGAUUAGAUACCCCGGUAGUCCUGGCCGUAAACGAUGGGUACUAGGUGUGGGAGGUAUCGACUCCUUCCGUGCCGGAGUUAACGCAAUAAGUACCCCGCCUGGGGAGUACGGCCGCAAGGCUUAAACUCAAAUGAAUUGGCGGG
rnacentral:rRNA from 1 species